rnacentral:misc_RNA from 1 species
AAAGUCGUAACAAGGUUUCCGUAGGUGAACCUGCGGAAGGAUCAUUAUCUAUCAAGCUGUGGUCGCGGCCCCUGGGGUAACUCCUGGGCGGUAGAGGUAACACUCGCACGCGCCACGCGCCUGAAUCCUUUUUUUUACGAGCACCUUUCGUUCUCCUUCCUGCCGCUGGAACUUUAUAAACCCUUUUUUGAAUCCAGCAUUACCUGUUCUGAUAUAAACAAUCGUUACAACUUUCAACAAUGGAUCUCUUGGCUCUG